UACAGAGGUCUCAAGCGUUGUUCGGAUUCAUUGGGCGUAAAGGGUGCGUAGGUGGCGCGGUGAGUCGGGUGUGAAAUUUCGGAGCUUAACUCCGAAACUGCAUUCGAUACUGCCGUGCUUGAGGACUGGAGAGGAGACUGGAAUUUACGGUGUAGCAGUGAAAUGCGUAGAGAUCGUAAGGAAGACCAGUGGCGAAGGCGGGUCUCUGGACAGUUCCUGACACUGAGGCACGAAGGCCAGGGGAGCAAACGGG
rnacentral:rRNA from 1 species